GACGAACGCUGGCGGCGUGCUUAACACAUGCAAGUCGAACGGAAAGGCCCUGCUUUGGUGGGGUGCUCGAGGGGCGAACGGGUGAGUAACACGUGAGUAACCUGCCCUUGACUGUGGGAUAACUUCAGGAAACUGGGGCUUAUACCGGAUAGGAGCUCCUGCUGCAGGGUGGGGGUGGGAAAGUUUCGGCGGUUGGGGAUGGACUCGCGGCUUAUCAGCUUGUUGGUGGGGUAGUGGCUUACCAAGGCUUUGACGGGUAGCCGGCCUGAGCGGGUGACCGGCCACAUUGGGACUGAGAUACGGCACAGACUACUACGGGAGGCAGCAGUGGGGAAUAUUGCACAAUGGGCGGAAGCCUGAUGCAGCAACGCCGCGUGCGGGAUGACGGCCUUCGGGUUGUAAACCGAUUUCGCCUGUGACGAAGCGUGAGUGACGGUAAUGGGUAAAGAAGCACCGGCUAACUACGUG
rnacentral:rRNA from 1 species